CCAACGGCCCUCUUUAGGGCCACAAAUGUUCUCGGAUACGCUUGA
rfam:Ancylostoma duodenale strain Zhejiang A_duodenale-1.0_Cont8911.1, whole genome shotgun sequence.